GACGAACGCUGGCGGCGUGCCUAAUACAUGCAAGUUGAGCGCUGAAGGUUGGUACUUGUACCAACUGGAUGAGCAGCGAACGGGUGAGUAACGCGUGGGGAAUCUGCCUUUGAGCGGGGGACAACAUUGGGAAACGAAUGCUAAUACCGCAUAAAAACUUUAAACACAAGUUUUAAGUUUGAAAGAUGCAAUUGCAUCACUCAAAGAUGAUCCCGCGUUGUAUUAGCUAGUUGGUGAGGUAAAGGCUCACCAAGGCGAGGAUACCUAGCCGACCCGGGAGGGUGAUCGGCCCCAUCUGGACCUGGACCCGGCCCCAACCCCCUACGGGGGCAGCCGUAGGGGAUCUUCCGGCAUUGACGGAAGUCCGACCGGGCCACGCCGGCGGAGUGAAGGAGGGUUUCCGAUCCGUAAACUCCGUUUGUAGGGAAGAACGUUGGUGAGAGUGGACAGCGCACCACGUGACGGUAACUACUCAGAAAGCGACGGCUAACUACGUG
rnacentral:rRNA from 1 species